UAAUAAAUGAAGACUUGGAGGGGGCUGAUCUUGGGAUUUCCUUCUUGCAUCCUGCUUGGCCUUGAUAGUGAACACAUAUGGUCUGAGUCCAUCGAAAGCAAAACGUGAGAGAGGUGAAGCAUUCCUAGCGGAAGGCUGACCAAGUUCUGAGACUUCAUAUAUACGUUAAUGAACAGCAGUCAGAAAAAAAAUGUGGGCAUUCAAAUUAAGGACUGGAAUAAUAGUUGUGGCCUUCUUGAAGCUCCUGCCUUCAUCCAUUACCACCAUGCAGAACCUCCUCCCUCUCACCUGACUGGAGAGAAACCAGGAGGCUGGCAGAGCCGUGAAUGUCUGUUUAUUCCCGAAUGGAAUGAAGGGAAGAAAUGAGUCAGACGUGUCUCCGCUGUUCAGAGAAAAUGAAAUCCUGCUCCUUUUAUUGCACAACUCUUGACAGCAGUCACAUCUGUCACGUUUCCUAUGCAAACCUUGCUAGGAGCCAGCGGCUGGAGAGGUGAGGAAGACUGAUUUACUAGGACACGUUAUGGAAACCUCGUGUGAUUAGGAAAUCGCAAAACCACCCUGAGAUCCCCGGCACAAGCUUAGCCCGGAUUCCCUUCCCCCUGUGGAUGUAGUCGAUUUGACAUUUUGUGAUGAC